ensembl:lncRNA
AUGCCUCCAACAACCUGCCCAAGCUUGGCUGGCACUGGACGCCGAGUUAGCGCCCCAGCGACCAACCGCCCCGAGGCGCACUUCCCCCACCCCGGAAGAGGAGGGCGGCAAACUUCGGCAGGGGGGGUGAGGGGACGAGCUCCGGGAACCAACGCCGCCUCGCCCGCCCCGGGGAAGGGCCGGGACAGAGACCCUGGCUGCAGCCGGAGGGCUGCGGGGAAGAGAGCGCUCCUUCCCGCUACGCCAAGGCAGCGGCCGGGGCGCUCUCGCCCGGUGAGGGGCCUCGGAAAACUGCAGCAAGGCGACAGCGGGGACCCUGGGAAGUGUGCGCUGACGGAGGGUCGGGGGAAGCCCGAGCUCGCCGGCAACUACGGGGGCGAACGCGACCGUCGGCGUGCGGGACCGGCUCGCAGGAGGACGGAGGAAACGGAGCCAGGAUGGCCGGGACCUCGCAGGACGCCGGCCGCGCGCGGGGGAGUGCUGCCUGGCGGCCGGGUGAUGCCCGCGGCGGGGAGGGCUGGUGGCCGGCCCGCUUCUCCCCGGCGGGGCUCUGCAGAAGCUGAAGCGGCUGCCGGUGACAGGAAGAGAGCCGGCAGCCGUGCAAGCAAGCACCGCCUCCCCCGCCCGAGCACACACACCCGGGGCCGCCACCGCCUACCUCCCCCGCCCGCCGGCUUCCUUCCUCUGCCGGCCCGCGCUGCAGCGACGGCCUCCUGCCCGCUCGGCUCCAACGCGCCUCCAACCCGGCUGCUACCCGCGGGCCGUGCCCGAUCCGUGCUCGCCGUCUCCGACCGCUGGCCUGCCGCCCUCGCCGCGGCCACCGCUUCCUCCAACUCAGCUCCAGCUGCUCGCGACUCCUCUUCGCGAGCCGGCAGCUCCGGAGCCCAGCGCCGGCCCCGCCUCCGGCCCGGCCCCGCGCGUCCCGCCCCCGAGCUCACACCAACCAGCGCCUGCGGCCCCGCCCCUUUCCGCCCGCGGCUCUGCCCCUUUCCGCCCGCACCGCUCCGGCCUCGGAGCCGGCGGCCGGCGGUGGGGGAGUAA